UACGUAGGGUGCGAGCGUUGUCCGGAAUUACUGGGCGUAAAGGGCGCGUAGGCGGUCUGUUAAGUUCGGUGUGAAAGCCCCCCGCUUACCCGGGGAACGUGCGCCGGAAACCGACAGACUCGAGUACCGGAGAGGAGGGUGGAAUUCCUGGUGUAGCGGUGAAAUGCGUAGAUAUCAGGAGGAACACCGGUGGCGAAGGCGGCCCUCUGGACGGAUACUGACGCUGAGGCGCGAAAGCGUGGGGAUCAAACAGG
rnacentral:rRNA from 1 species